UUGUCUCUCUUGAGUGGAUCCUGAGUACGACGGAGCACGUGAAAUUCCGUCGGAAUCUGGGAGGACCAUCUCCUAAGGCUAAAUACUCUCUAGUGACCGAUAGUGAACCAGUACCGUGAGGGAAAGGUGAAAAGCACCCCGGAAGGGGAGUGAAAUAGAACCUGAAACCGUGUGCUUACAAGUAGUCAGAGCCCGUUAAUGGGUGAUGGCGUGCCUUUUGUAGAAUGAACCGGCGAGUUACGAUUUGAUGCAAGGUUAAGCAGUAAAUGUGGAGCCGUAGCGAAAGCGAGUCUGAAUAGGGCGUUUAGUAUUUGGUCGUAGACCCGAAACCAGGUGAUCUACCCUUGGUCAGGUUGAAGUUCAGGUAACACUGAAUGGAGGACCGAACCGACUUACGUUGAAAAGUGAGCGGAUGAACUGAGGGUAGCGGAGAAAUUCCAAUCGAACCUGGAGAUAGCUGGUUCUCUCCGAAAUAGCUUUAGGGCUAGCCUCAAGUGAUGAUUAUUGGAGGUAGAGCACUGUUUGGACGAGGGGCCCCUCUCGGGUUACCGAAUUCAGACAAACUCCGAAUGCCAAUUAAUUUAACUUGGGAGUCAGAACAUG
rnacentral:rRNA from 1 species